GCGCCCAUAGCUCAGGUGGUAGAGCAACUCCCUUUUAAGGAGUGGGUCCUUGGUUCGAAUCCAAGUGGGCGCA
rnacentral:tRNA from 1 species